GGGGGGGGGGGGGGGGGGGGUGGGGGGGGGCAGGGCGGCGGGGGGGGCCCUGGGGUGGUGGGGUGGUGGAGGGGGGAGCGGGGGAGUGACAGGGGGGGGACCUGCCCGUGACUGGGGGAGAGCGUCGGUAACCUGGGGCUCAUAACGGCUGGGGGGCCCUGCUGCCGGGGGGGGGUUGGAAAGUUGCGUCGGGUGGUGAUGGACUCGCGGCGUAUCAGAGUGUUGGUGGGGUAGUGGCUUCCCAAGGCUUUGACGGGUAGCCGGCCUGAGAGGGUGACCGGCCACAUUGGGACUGAGAUACGGCCCAGACUCAUACGGGAGGCCGCAGUGGGGAAUAUUGCACAAUGGGCGGAAGCCUGAUGCAGCAACGCCGCGUGCGGGAUGACGGCCUUCGGGUUGUAAACCGCUUUCGCCUGUGACGAAGCGUGAGUGACGGUAAUGGGUAAAGAAGCACCGGCUAACUACGUG
rnacentral:rRNA from 1 species